rnacentral:rRNA from 1 species
UACGAAGGGUGCAAACGUUGCUCGGAAUUAUUGGGCGUAAAGCGCACGUAGGCGGCUUUGCAAGUCCCAUGUGAAAUCCCACGGCUCAACCGUGGAAGUGCAUGGGAAACUGCAGAGCUUGAGUACUUAAGAGGAUCGCGGAAUUCCCGGUGUAGAGGUGAAAUGCGUAGAUAUCUGGAGGAACACCGGUGGCGAAGGCGGCAUCCUGGACCAACACUGACGCUGAGUGAGCGAAAGCCAGGGGAGCAAACGGG